AAAACUCAUUCAAAUAAAAUGAUGAGCAUCAAGGCCUAGGUAUUAUUGGUAAUCUCCUAAACAACUUCUAAAAUAACUCUAAGAUUUCUCGACGCACUCUCAAAGUUCCAAGUAAGAAUGUGAAAGGAAGGUAGAACCUUUUUAGAUAAGGUCACUAUCGAGAUUAGAUUCUUACAGUGAGCAUUUGAAACCAAAAAUUAGAGAAUGAGUCUUUAUUUCACCAAAAAGGGUCUUCGAAAAAACAUGAGCCUUAAGUAGAGUGAAUGAACUUGAACGAGAGUAGUAAUACAUCUGAGUUUCAUAUAGCUAUUUGCCAUUACAUUAAAAAUUUGAACUGAAAAACCACAAUAGGAUUAAUCCACCAAAUGUUUCCAAUCCAAGCCAUUUGUUUCUUAUGCAGAAACCAUCACUAUUUUGCUGGGCACGUGCUCGAGGAGUACUACUGGUUCCUGCAGGUGCACUCGUAGGAUUGGCUUCAACUGUAGGAUUUGGCCCUCCUGCUACUGGGGUGCUUGCAGUAUUGUUGCUGGAAUUUUUACCAAAUUGAUAGAACACUUGAGCAUCUGGUGAAUUUGGGGGCAACUUGAGUAGAGCUGCGAUAAAAAUCAAUUAAAAUGAUAUAAUUGUAAAAUCCAUACCGGGAUCGAGGCCUAUUUAAGUGUUUGUUCCGGGAUGUGAUUAGAAAAUAUAAUGAUAUCGACUACUACCCAACCUUCUCUACAACACAAGCUUCAAAGGCAUAGUAGUACAUGGUACUCCAUAAGACGGAUAUGACUCGAAACAUAAUAGUGGCACUCAAGAUUUUUUUUCUAUAUUACUAGUGUAUGGUCCACCAUAGUAAACAGACCAAUAAGUAGUUAAAAUUCGAAUCCGAGUCAACUCAGACUCUUAAAUUGAUUUUGGUAAAGAAUGCUACUUUAACUUCAUGUUUAGUACGUAAUACUAGAUAUGACUCGAGCACAGCAUAAUCCAGAAAAUUUUAACACUUUUUUUUGAUGAUAAAAAUAACAUGAAAAAUCAUUAAGGACAUAAGUAUUAUAAUGAGCAAAAAUUAACAACUCAAUAAGGAUAGUUUAUUAGCACCACAAAUUUUAUUUGUUACAUUAUAUUUAAAUUGCAUUUAGACUCCUCAAUAAAUGCUUGAUGUAGCAAUUAUUUUCUUUAUUUUUUUCGUCGAAUUUUUAUCUUCGACGUUUUAUUAAUUAGUACAUUUCAUCUUUAAUGAUCAUGUCUAUCAAAAUAUUUUGUUUUCAUACUUUGAAAUGAGAGAAAAAUACUUUUUUCAUACUUAUUUAUUUAUUUAUUCUUUAAAAUAUGAUGAAAAAUAAUUUUUUAUACAUUAUUUUAAUGGACUUUUUUAACAUAAACUAUUAUUAAAUACAAAAUGUGUUAACUAAUGAAAAGUUUAAUAAUAAAAUUGUCAUAAAAAAUCGUUAGGAACCAUAAAUCCUAUAAUGAAUCGUUAAGUGUAAUUAAAAUAUGGUGCAAAAAAAUAAAAAUGUGGUUCAAAUAUAAUUACACCGAAAAUAGUUAAAGAGAAAAGAGGGAAAAAAAUGGAAAAUCAUUAUUAAAAAAUUGAGUUAAUUAAAUUAAUACUUACUAAACUUACAUUAGAUUUCUUAGGACCCCUUGAGUAGAUUCCGAGGUCCCAUUAGAACCCCGUUUGAUGUUAAUUAUUUCAAAACACUUUUUUCUCGUACUAAUUUUCAACCACAUAUUAUCAUAAUAAAAUAUUUUACACAUAAAGUCAAAUUUUUUUAAAUUUUAAAUUACAAAUUCUUAAAAAAAUCACUAUUACAAAACUCAUUCAAAUAAAAUGAUGAGCAUCAAGGCCUAGGUAUUAUUGGUAAUCUCCUAAACAACUUCUAAAAUAACUCUAAGAUUUCUCGACGCACUCUCAAAGUUCCAAGUAAGAAUGUGAAAGGAAGGUAGAACCUUUUUAGAUAAGGUCACUAUCGAGAUUAGAUUCUUACAGUGAGCAUUUGAAACCAAAAAUUAGAGAAUGAGUCUUUAUUUCACCAAAAAGGGUCUUCGAAAAAACAUGAGCCUUAAGUAGAGUGAAUGAACUUGAACGAGAGUAGUAAUACAUCUGAGUUUCAUAUAGCUAUUUGCCAUUACAUUAAAAAUUUGAACUGAAAAACCACAAUAGGAUUAAUCCACCAAAUGUUUCCAAUCCAAGCCAUUUGUUUCUUAUGCAGAAACCAUCACUAUUUUGCUGGGCACGUGCUCGAGGAGUACUACUGGUUCCUGCAGGUGCACUCGUAGGAUUGGCUUCAACUGUAGGAUUUGGCCCUCCUGCUACUGGGGUGCUUGCAGUAUUGUUGCUGGAAUUUUUACCAAAUUGAUAGAACACUUGAGCAUCUGGUGAAUUUGGGGGCAACUUGAGUAGAG
rnacentral:lncRNA from 1 species